rnacentral:rRNA from 1 species
CUCAAAGGGUGGUUAAAUACACAAAUUAAAUAAGGCUAAAAACUAACUCCGCUGUAGCACGCAAUAGUUAAAAUAAAUACAACUUCGAAAGUGGCCUUACUAAAAUAAACUUGAACCCACGACAACUAGGAGACAAACUGGGAUUAGAUACCCCACUAUGCCUAGUUAUAAACUUUGAUUUAUCCGCCAGAAUACUACGAGCAACAGCUUAAAACUCAAAGGACUUGGCGGUGCUCCACACCCCCUAGAGGAGCCUGUUCUAUAAUCGAUAAUCCACGAUAAACCUCACCAUCUAUUGCCAAUUCAGCCUAUAUACCACCGUCCAGCCCACCCUUUAAAGGACAAACAGUAGGCACAACUAUAAACAUAAAAACGUCAGGUCAAGGUGUAGCAUAUAAGAUGGGAAGAAAUGGGCUACAUUUUCUAAAUUAGAAAAUUACGGAAAAGCUUAUGAAACUAAAGCUAUAAAGGAGGAUUUAACAGUAAAAAGAAAAAAGAGUGUUCUUUUUAAACCGGCAAUGGAGCGCGCACACACCGCCCGUCACCCUCUUCAAACAACUAUAAGCAAUAAAUAAACAAAGAUUAAAAAAAGAAGAGGCAAGUCGUAACAUGGUAAGUCUACCGGAAGGUGAACUUGGAACAUC